GCUCUUUCAUUAUGCUCUUACACGAUAUGUCAAAUUAAUUCACUGUUUACUCCCAUUUUGAUUUUUUUCACUCUAAACAUAUUUUUGAAUGUGGCCAAAGACAGUGCUGAUGUCAUCAUUAUUGAUGACAGCUUCUCCGCUAUUGUUGUCAUUGUUGCAAGAUGGGGUCGAUCAGUAUACAUCAACAUUCAGAAGUUUGUGCAGUUUCAGCUCACUGUCAAUGUGGUACAUCUGGUAUCCUGUAUUAGUUUAUGCUUUGAAAAUCCUCAUAGUACUUGAGCGUAUUUUGAAUGCCCUUUUGUUUAUUUCAUAAACCUACAUCUCAUCGUUUGUAUUCAUGCUGAUUCAGGGAGUGCUCCUCUUACUGUUGUUCAAUUGCUCUGGGUCAACAUGAUCAUGGAUACACUGGGUGCACUGGCGUUGGCUAGAGAAUCUGUCCCCAACCCCAAACGAUGAACUGAUGAAGAGAACACCUGUUGGAAGGAAAGGGAACUUCAUCAGUAACGUUACGUGGAGAAACACCCUGGGACAGGACUUCUACCAGUUCCUCGAAACAUCCCAUGUAUAUUGGAUUGGUUUGAAAAAAUUAACUUGAAUACAUAGGGAAAGUGGCUAUUUGGAAUCAAGGGCGAUAACUCUGAUCUACUCUUGAACACACUGAUCUUCACUGCUUCGUAUUCUGCCAGGUGGCGAGAAGGUGACGAGGCGUGUCCAGCACGGUGAAGCAUGUCGUCGAUGCACAUCAGUCUGGCACGGGCGAGAAGGACGCUCCGUUCGUUGUGGAUGGCAUCAAGAUGGCUAAUAUUGAAUGGAAUGGAGGCUCGGAUACUAUGGAUGAAAUUCUUGUUAGGAUAUAACAACUGGAAGAAGCAGCAGUAAAGCGUGAGCGAGCUAUGGUGUACGCGUUCAACCAUCAGGUUUAUACUUACUAAUUCGGAUGUUGUAACUCAUUUCGUUGUAGAAAUCCACUAAGAUUCAAAUUAUAAAUGUGCUGAAAAAUGAAUAAAUACCUGCAGAUCACACCAACAGAUUCAUCUUGCUUGCAGAUCACAUCACUCAUUUACCGUGUGUUUGUCUUAUGGAUACUUAGCAUGCAUAUAUAGAUUCAAGCCAGGAACUGAUGGUCUGCUAAAUCUUUGUUUCAUGUAAGGGGUGGAAGGUAUCUUAUUGUGUUUGAAUUGUGUUGUUUAAUGCUUCAUUUUUGCUAGAGCAUGGGGGCCACCUUUUGAUUUCAAUAAUCAAGUAGAAGAGUUUGCAUUUUCGCCUGUUUUACUUUCUUUUUACUGGAGGGAUGCUUGUUCCACCAAAUUCUUUCUUGGUGUAAAAUUAUAGGACCAAACAACAUGUCACUCAUCACCAUUACUCAGCUGACCUGCCUGCUACAAGGUUAGUGAAAGGAGCAGUGUUAUCCUAUGUUCUGAAUUGGUAUAACCAAUAGACAUGAUUUGUUCGUAAUUUUGUUUUCCGAAA